rnacentral:tRNA from 1 species
GCCCAGGUGGCGGAAUUGGUAGACGCGCUAGGUUCAGGUCCUAGUGGUGCAAAACACCGUGGGGGUUCAAGUCCCUUCUUGGGCA